UGCCAGCCGCCGCGGUAAUACGGAGGUUGCAAGCGUUGUUCGGAUUUACUGGGCGUAAAGGGAGCGCAGGCGGUUUGAUAAGUCUGAAGUGGAAGCCCGGGGCUCAACCCCGGAAGGCCUUUGGAUACUGUCAGACUUGAGUUCGUGAGAGGAAAGCGGAAUUCCAGGUGUAGCGGUGAAAUGCGUAGAUAUCUGGAGGAACAUCGGUGGCGAAAGCGGCUUUCUGGCACGAUACUGACGCUGAGGCUCGAAAGCGUGGGGAGCGAACAGGAUUAGAUA
rnacentral:rRNA from 1 species